AUUGAACGCUGGCGGCAUGCUUUACACAUGCAAGUCGAACGGUAACAGGGAGCUUGCUCCGCUGACGAGUGGCGAACGGGUGAGUAAUGCAUCGGAACGUACCCAGUCGUGGGGGAUAACGUAGCGAAAGUUACGCUAAUACCGCAUACGUCCUGAGGGAGAAAGCGGGGGACCGAAAGGCCUCGCGCGAUUGGAGCGGCCGAUGUCGGAUUAGCUAGUUGGUAGGGUAAAGGCCUACCAAGGCGACGAUCCGUAGCGGGUCUGAGAGGAUGAUCCGCCACACUGGGACUGAGACACGGCCCAGACUCCUACGGGAGGCAGCAGUGGGGAAUUUUGGACAAUGGGCGCAAGCCUGAUCCAGCCAUGCCGCGUGAGUGAAGAAGGCCUUCGGUUGUAAAGCUCUUUCUAGGUGGAAAGAAAACGACAUGGGUCGAAUACCCUGUGUGGAGUGACGGUACCAUCAGAAGAAGCACCGGCUAACUAACGUGCC
rnacentral:rRNA from 1 species